rnacentral:misc_RNA from 1 species
ACACGUAUCCAACGUUAAACCCCCCUGUGAACCUUUAGUGUGCUCCCUCAUUCUGUUGGAACGUGGCAAUCCCUGGUAAAUCAUCGCCGAACAGUUUUUAUUCAGGGACUUCUGCAAAGAGUGUUGGUUGUAGCGCGAGGCAAGUGGCCUGGCAUUCCUCUGCUUGUUAGUGUCUGAAAGUGUCACUGGCUCUGUAAGAAUGGCGCAGUCACGAUCGCCAGGGGCCGACACGGCCGGCUCACCCCUUUGCAUGAAAACGGGCCUGCGCUUAAUUGUGCGGCCAUAAACCGAACAACUGUUAACAAUGGAUAUCUUGGUUCUC